rnacentral:rRNA from 1 species
CACGUAGGGAGCAAGCGUUGUCCGGAUUUAUUGGGCGUAAAGAGCUCGUAGGUGGUUCGGUAAGUCAGGUGUGAAACCUCCAGGCUCAACCUGGAGACGCCACUUGAUACUGCUGUGACUGGAGUCCGGUAGGGGAGCGUGGAAUUCCUGGUGUAGCGGUGGAAUGCGCAGAUAUCAGGAGGAACACCGAUGGCGAAGGCAGAUCUCUGGGCCAUUACUGACGCUGAGGAGCGAAAGCGUGGGGAGCGAACAGG